UGCAUCUGCUCUGAGUUGGAUCCAGCUGAACUGGGCCGGGUGAGGGUGGCCUCCGGGGCCCCUUGGCCUCUGCUGCACAGCGGGACACAGAUGUCAUCUUGGUCGCACUGAGCUGACUCAACACACUGCUCGAGCACGCUGCAGCCUGGGGCACUUGUGGACUCUCACAAGGCACACACACCCAGACUAUCUGUCCAUCCCUGCAUGAAGUCCUGAGCAUCCACGGGACUCCGCCAG